CUUUCCUGAAAAGAAGACACAAUAAAACUUGAUAUGUUAAAACAAAAAACAGCAGGCAUAUUAGUCGGAUUACAUGAAUUUGUGACAGCAACGAAUUCAAUGAAACAACAGUACAGGAAAUCGACAAGUUAAUCACGAAAAUGUAACAAUCAAAUCUUGAAAUGGUCAAUAUAAUUCCAUUGUAUCGCUGUUGUCCCAUUUCGAUGUUAUUUCUGGAUUAUCCCAUUUUGAAGGUAUAUGUGUGGGGGACACUGUGUAAAGCAAAUUAUAUGUAACUUUGAGAUAAUAUGGUUAUAUGAUAAUAAAUAUAACUAUAUAAUAAAA